UGGGGAAUAUUUGACAAUGGGCGAAAGCCUGAUCCAGCCAUGCCGCGUGUGUGAAGAAGGUCUUCGGAUUGUAAAGCACUUUAAGUUGGGAGGAAGGGCAGUAAGCGAAUACCUUGCUGUUUUGACGUUACCGACAGAAUAAGCACCGUCUAACUCUGUGCCAGCAGCCGCGGUAAUACAGAGGGUGCAAGCGUUAAUCGGAAUUACUGGGCGUAAAGCGCGCGUAGGUGGUUCGUUAAGUUGAAUGUGAAAGCCCCGGGCUCAACCCGGGAACUGCAUCCAAAACUGGCGAGCUAGAGCAGUGCAGAGGGUGGUGGAAUUGCCUGUGUAGCGGAGAAAUGCGUAGAUAUAGGAAGGAACACCAGUGGCGAAGGCGACCACCUGGGCUCAUACUGACACUGAGGUGCGAAAGCGUGGGGAGCAAACAGG
rnacentral:rRNA from 1 species